UUGUGUUCGUUUUUUUUUUUGUCUCGGAUUCAUGGACAGUGGUUAGAGGAUUUUCACCUAUAAAGAGCUAAUUGGAUUGUUUAAAUUCUUCAGUUAUCAAGGAUUAAGGUGAGUUUAAGGUAGAGAUUGAAUUCAUGGACGGUGGUUUAAAUCAUUAUCCAUGUUGUUGUUAAGUAGCUUAAGGGAAGAGACCAAAGAUUAAUAUCAGCCUUAGUAAUUGUACUCUCAUGUGCCUCGAUUCAUUGAGAAAGCAGAGAGGAGCUGAAGUCAAAGGGUGUUGAAGAGUCAUUUGCUUUAGCGAUGGAAGUCUUUUAAUUGGGUUUUUGAAGGAUGUUUCGUGAUGAUGAACCUUGCUGUGGAGAUGAAGUUAAUGAUGACACCUUCUAGUUAUAGACCAACAACAACACGCAAGAGAGGUCGAAACGCUUGUGGUGAUGCAAUUGUUGAAGCAAUGCUAGAAAUUGCAGCAGCUUCCAGAAUGAGGGAGAUGGGUGUAUCGAAGGAGCAAGUCGAAGCUUCCUUGACUUCAAAACUCAAUCCUGUUUAUCUGGAUGUCAUCGACACAUCUGGAGGGUAAAAUCUUAUGAUCACUAAACCAUCAUCACUUUUGAUAUAUAAAGUUAUAAACUCCGGUUCUCUAAUUAUCGAAUCUGCAUCGCUUGAGCCCAAAUUUGUCAACAAAAUCGUUGCUGGUGGAGAAGAUAUGUGGGUUAGACUAUGUAAUUUCCACACCAGAGAGGAGAUUGGAUGCAACAAGGGACAUCAUGGUCCUAAUCCUAUACUGCAGAUUAGUUAGUGAUUGGAGUAACUUCAUUGGGGAUUAGGAGCACAAUGAGCAGCUGAAAAGACUGAAUUCACUACAAGUGAGAAAGACUUGACUUAGUAUCUGAAGAACACAAGGAGAACCACAAGUUGGUUGUUUUCAGUCUGUUUGCAGAAGCUAACAAAAAGUCUUGAAGAACUAAGGCAUUCAACCUCAAACAAAGAUGAUGAAGUGAUCGUUGAGCAAGAACCUAAAAGAGAGCGCUGAAGAGAAUAGAGAAAAGUAGUUGAUGUUUUUGUAUACAUUGGAAAAUAAAUUUUUUAUUUAAAUUAUAAAGAUUUUUGUUUAUAGUUUUUUGUCACUUUUUAAUAACAAUUAGCUACAGCACUAUACACACUAAAUUAGACAUAUUUUUCUAA